rnacentral:rRNA from 1 species
GAUGAACGCUGGCGGCGUGCCUAAUACAUGCAAGUCGAGCGAACGGACGAGAAGCUUGCUUCUCUGAUGUUAGCGGCGGACGGGUGAGUAACACGUGGAUAACCUACCUAUAAGACUGGGAUAACUUCGGGAAACCGGAGCUAAUACCGGAUAAUAUUUUGAACCGCAUGGUUCAAAAGUGAAAGACGGUCUUGCUGUCACUUAUAGAUGGAUCCGCGCUGCAUUAGCUAGUUGGUAAGGUAACGGCUUACCAAGGCAACGAUGCAUAGCCGACCUGAGAGGGUGAUCGGCCACACUGGAACUGAGACACGGUCCAGACUCCUACGGGAGGCAGAAGUAGGGAAUCUUCCGAAAUGGGCGAAAGCCUGACGGAGCAACGCCGCGUGAGUGAUGAAGGUCUUCGGAUCGUAAAACUCUGUUAUUAGGGAAGAACAUAUGUGUAAGUAACUGUGCACAUCUUGACGGUACCUAAUCAGAAAGCCACGGCUAACUACGUG